rnacentral:rRNA from 1 species
UACGUAGGUGGCAAGCGUUGUCCGGAAUUAUUGGGCGUAAAGCGCGCGCAGGCGGUCUUUUAAGUCUGAUGUGAAAGCCCACGGCUCAACCGUGGAGGGUCAUUGGAAACUGGGAGACUUGAGUGCAGAAGAGAAGAGUGGAAUUCCACGUGUAGCGGUGAAAUGCGUAGAGAUGUGGAGGAACACCAGUGGCGAAGGCGACUCUUUGGUCUGUAACUGACGCUGAGGCGCGAAAGCGUGGGGAGCAAACA